UAAGAGGUCCCGCCUGCCCUGUGACUAUAUGUUUAACGGCCGCGGUAUUUUGACCGUGCGAAGGUAGCGCAAUCACUUGUCUUUUAAAUGGGGACCUGUAUGAAUGGCAUAACGAGGGCUUAACUGUCUCCUCUUUCAAGUCAAUGAAAUUGAUCUCCCCGUGCAGAAGCGAGGAUAAAUACAUAAGACGAGAAGACCCUAUGGAGCCUUUAGACACUAAAGCAGGUCAGUAUUAAUACCCUGAACAUAGGCUACGAAUAAACUGACCCCUGCCCUAAUGUCUUUGGUUGGGGCGACCGCGGAGAAAAAUAAAACCCCCGCAAGGAUUAAAUGUACUACAUUCACAAACAAGAGCGACAGCUCUAACUAACAGAACUUCUGACCAAUAAGAUCCGGCAAUGCCGAU
rnacentral:rRNA from 1 species